UACGUAGGGGGCAAGCGUUGUCCGGAUUUACUGGGCGUAAAGAGCGUGUAGGCGGCCACGCAGGUCCGUUGUGAAAACUGGAGGCUCAACCUCCAGCUGUCGACGGAAACCGUGUGGCUAGAGUCCGGAAGAGGAGAGUGGAAUUCCUGGUGUAGCGGUGAAAUGCGCAGAUAUCAGGAAGAACACCAAUGGCGAAGGCAGCUCUCUGGGACGGUAGCUGACGCUGAGACG
rnacentral:rRNA from 1 species